ACGAACGCUGGCGGCGUGCUUAACCCCUGCAAGUCGAGCGGAAAGGCCCUGCUUUUGUGGGGUGCUCGAGUGGCGAACGGGUGAGUAACACGUGAGUAACCUGCCCUUGACUUUGGGAUAACUUCAGGAAACUGGGGCUAAUACCGGAUAGGAGCUCCUGCUGCAUGGUGGGGGUUGGAAAGUUUCGGCGGUUGGGGAUGGACUCGCGGCUUAUCAGCUUGUUGGUGGGGUAGUGGCUUACCAAGGCUUUGACGGGUAGCCGGCCUGAGAGGGUGACCGGCCACAUUGGGACUGAGAUACGGCCCAGACUCCUACGGGAGGCAGCAGUGGGGAAUAUUGCACAAUGGGCGGAAGCCUGAUGCAGCAACGCCGCGUGCGGGAUGACGGCCUUCGGGUUGUAAACCGCUUUCGCCUGUGACGAAGCGUGAGUGACGGUAAUGGGUAAAGAAGCACCGGCUAACUACGUG
rnacentral:rRNA from 1 species